rnacentral:misc_RNA from 1 species
AACUUUUGGCAACGGCUCUCUUGGCUCUCGCAUCGAUGAAGAACGCAGCGAAAUGCGAUAAGUAAUGUGAAUUGCAGAAUUCAGUGAAUCAUCGAAUCUUUGAACGCACCUUGCGCUCCUUGGUAUUCCGAGGAGCAUGCCUGUUUGAGUGUCAUUAAAUUCUCAACCUUCCAGCUUUUAUUAGCUUGGUUAGGCUUGGAUGUGGGGGUUGCGGGCUUCACUCAUGAGGUCGGCUCUCCUUAAAUGCAUUAGCGGAACUUUUGUGGACCGUCUAUUGGUGUGAUAAUUAUCUACGCCGUGGAUGUGAAGCAGCUUUAUGAAGUUCAGCUUCUAACCGUCCCUUGACUUGGACAAUUCUUGACAAUUUGACCUCAAAUCAGGUAGGACUACCCGCUGAACUUAAGCAUAUCAAUAAGCGGAGGCU